rnacentral:rRNA from 1 species
UACGAAGGGGGCUAGCGUUGCUCGGAAUUACUGGGCGUAAAGGGCGCGUAGGCGGCACUGUUAGUCAGGCGUGAAAGUCCUGGGCUCAACCUGGGAACUGCGCUUGAUACGGCAGAGCUAGAGGAUGGAAGAGGGUCGCGGAAUUCCCAGUGUAGAGGUGAAAUUCGUAGAUAUUGGGAAGAACACCGGUGGCGAAGGCGGCGACCUGGUCCAUUACUGACGCUGAGGCACGAAAGCGUGGGGAUCAAACAGGG